AUAAAUAAAAUCACAUUUUUGGGACGACUGGUUGGCUCUGUUGGUUAAGUGUCUGCUUUUGACUCAGGUCAUGAUACCAGGGUAGUCCUGCAUCAGGCUUCUUGCUCUGUAAUGAGCCUGCUUUUCCCUCUGUCUCUUUCCCUCUACUUGUGUUUUCUCUUUCUCUCUUUCUCAAAUAAAUAAAUAAAAUCUUUAAAAAAUAAAUCACAUUUUCUUAGAAAUGUACUGCUUUUUGGGAAGUUUGAGGUUCCUAUAGGCUUCUCCAGUCAGGCCUGGGAACCUAGAUACUAGGGUGCUAAACAGAUUGGAAUAGAGGGUAAGUUUGGCAGCCUGAAGCUAUAUGUUGCAGCCAUUGGAGAGGAGGCGAAAGAGAGAGAUGGCGCCCUUUAUGUGACUCUUCUGAAGUCCUGGAUUGAGAAAGGAGAGUCCUGUUCCAUGUCUUAGGAUAUGGUAGCAUCAGAGCUACUAAUUGUCUGGUAUUUAUGUUUGUUGGGACUCUUCGGUGAGUAACAGUGAGAAUUUCUUCAAGCCAUCUUUUUUAUAUUUCAGAGGUAUCUUGUGCAGCCCAAGGGCAGGAAGGGCUGUGCUUAGCUUCGGAAGCCCUUUAGGCUUGUACUUUCUCAUCUCCUUGGACCAGCUAUUCCUGCUUCUUCAUUUUUGUUACAGAGCACAGCAGCCCUAUAGUUCCUGUGUUUACAUGUUAUAGUUUUGGCUAUUCACAGACCAAAAUUGUGUCUCUCAGCACCAGCUCCAGUUUCCAGGAACUGUACUUGAUCAGCUCAUCUGGGUUAGGCGAUCUUCCUAUGGUCUAGACUCACAGUUGGCUGCUGGAUGGUGAGCUCAGUUAACAUGAUCUCCCGAAGGGUGUUUGCCUCACUAAAUGCUUUGUAAUUUAGAGUAUUAUCUGUGACUCUGGAGAUCUGUACGUGUACAUGUCUAUUAGCAAUUUACAUUUCAUCCAGUAAGAGUUAGGUCUUACUGUAUUGCCAGCUCUCCUGACAGAGUAAGGCACAGAAAAGUGUACUUCUCUAUUUUUUCUUUUUCUUUUGAAGAUUUUAUUUAUUUAUUUGACAGAGAGAGCACAAGCAGGGGGCGCGGCAGGCAGAGGGAGAGGGAGAGAGAAACAGGCUUCCCAAGGAGCAGGGAGCCGGAUGUGGGGCUCAAUCCUGGGACCCUGGGAUCAUGACCUGAGCUGAAGGCAGUUGCUUAACCAGCUGAGCUACCCAGGUGCCUUGUGUACUUCUCUUUUGAAUGAAUGAAUAAGUACUCAGAGUUUACCAAUCUGUGUCCCUAGCUUCAUCAGGCUUACAGAGAAUCUAUGGUAAUUAAAUAAACUGAAAUAAGAUUAUUUCUUAGGCAUAUACAUAAGCCAGUUCUCACUUGGGGCUAGAGAAUAAAUGGAUUUUUCAGGGCUAGCAGUUGGGAGUCUUUACUUUCUUUUAGAGGGACUUUCUUUCCUUUAGUCCUGGCCAGUUUAAAACUUCAAGUUGUGAGGUGCAGGGUGGCUCAGUGGGUUAAAGCCUCUGCCUUCAGCUCAGGUCAUGAUCCUAGGGUCCUGAGAUCGAAUCCCGCACCAGGCUCUCUGCUCAGCAGGGAGCCUGCUUCUUCCUCUCUCUCUGUCUGCCUCUCUGCCUACCUGUGAUCUCCGUCUGCCCAAUAAAUAAACUCUUAAAAAAAUAAAACUUCAGGUUGCUAUUGGGACGCCUGCGUGACUCAGUCGGUUAAGCCACUGCCUUCGGCUCAUGUCUUGAUCCCAGGGUCCUGGAAUCAAGUCCCACAUCGGGCUCCUUGCUCAGCCAGGAGCCUGCUUCUCUCUCUGCCUCUGCCUGCCACUCUGCCUGCUUGUGUGCUCUCUCCCUCAUUCUCUCUGAUAAAUAAAUAAAAUCUUAAAAAAAAAAACAAAAAACCUUCCGGUUGUUAUAUCCAUAGUGGCAGAUAAGAUGAUUGUAACUCAUGUAUACAAAGUAUUUGCUCUCUGUCAGGAGCUGUGCACUUUAUGGUCUUUGGCACAUUGAGUCCCAUCACAGUUUUUGGAGGUAGUGCUAUUAUUCGCCCUUUUAUGAUAUGAAACAGAGAUUCAGAGAAGUAGAAUAACUUCCUGAAGGCCAUACAGAUUGUGUGGCAGAGCCAGAAUUUGAGUCAGGUCUAGCUCAUUCCAGAGCCUCUAUACAACAUUUCCUCUCCCCGCUUUUAUUUUUUAUUUUUUUAAAAGAUUUUGUUUAUUUAUUUGAGAGAGAGAGAGAUCACAAGUAGGCGGAGAGUCAGGCAGAGAGGGGGAAGCAGGCUCCCUGCCGAGCAGAGAGCCCCAUGCGGGACUCAAUCCCAGGACCCCGAGAUCAUGACCCGAGUCGAAGGCAGAGGCUUAACCCACUGAGCCACCCAGGCGCCCC